UCCACACUCAACACGGAGCCCAACAUGGGCUCAGUCUCAUGAACAUGAGAUCAUAACCUGAGCCAAAACCAAGAGUCGGAUGCUUAACCAUUUAACCAACUGAGCCACCCAGGCACCCCAAUGUGGGAGUACUUUAACCAACAUGUAUAGAUUUUGUAAUGUUUGGCAUCCAUCCAUCACAAGGCCAAAGUAAUAGCCAAAGUUGUUUACAUUUCUCCUGUUGUCUCACUUUCAUGGGUGUACAGAAAUCAUAUUACAAAUGCUCCAACUACAGACCCAACUUCUGUGUUUUGCUUCCUGCCCAGCAGACCAUCCCCACCUGACAGCUUCUCACCAAUAUAGUAAUAAAGGCUUUUGCCUGUUUUCUGCUCACUCCUUGUCUUGACUGACCUUGGUACUUCCUUGUGUGGUAGGACAUGCCCCCAUCUUUUCAGGAAUUGUAAGUAAUAAGCUUCUUUCAAAUGCAGUUGUCUCCUUGCCAUUCCUGAUUUUUUUUUUUUUAAUCCAGAGUGCAUUUUAACCAUAGGAUAAAACCCACAAUAUAUACAUGAUUAUGCCAAGUAAUGAUAAAUGCUACAAAGAACAAUAAAACAGGAAAAGGUAUAAAAAGGGAUAGAUAAGACUUAUCAGGAACAGACUCCAAUAAGGGGACAAUUGAGCAAGAGACCAGAGUAAAAUAGGGAGUGAGAUGUGCUGGUAUUGAGGAGCAGAGCAUUUCAGACAGAGGGGAGAGCAAACACUAAGGGCCUGAGGCAGGAGAGAACAUGCCUGGAGUGUGUAAAUAGGAAGACAGUAAGGAAACAUUGCUUAAAAGUGGGAUGGCUUCAGAAUAUGGGAGGUGGGUUGAUCUAUUCUUCUCCAAAUUUCUAUGUUGAAGCCCUAACCCCCUAGUACCUCAGAAUUUGACUGUAUUUGGACACGAGGUCUUUAAAGAUAUAAUUAAGUUAAAAUGAGGUUGUUAGAGUGGCCCUAAUCUAAUCUUAGGGAUGUCCUUCUAAGAAGAGGAGAUUAGGACACACAUACCAGGAGUGCACAUGUACAGAGAGACAACCACGUGAAGAGGCAAUGGGAGGCUGGCUGGCUGCAAGCCAAGGAGGGGCCUUAGAGGAAUCCAACCUGCCAACACCUUGAUCUUGGACUUCCAGCCUCCAGAACUAUAAGAAAACACAUUUUUGUUACAUCACCCAGUCUGUGGCAUUUUGUUAUGUCCUAGAGCUAAACUGUGAUGGCAAAAUGUUGCUACCUUACAAUUACCAUUAUUUAGUUGGUGUAGCUAGCAGGUUUGAUCUGUGUUCUCCUGGCCCAAUGUGGUUUUCUCUAAUUUUGCACAUUAUGUUUCCAGAUAACAUGCAAGCUUCCUGAUAGCACUGAGUUUACACAUUGUUCCUGUACCCCUAACUUGGAAUAUCCAAGUUAUUUUAUUUAUUUUUUGUUUGAUAUUUGGUUAAAUAAUAGGAAUCUCACUUAAUUUUAUCUUUUUUUUCUUUUUUAUUAAUUGUCAAUCUCCUUACUAAUGCAUUCAAUUUUUACCCCCCUCCCCACCAGCCUGCCCAAUGUAAUAGCUUCUUCACGUUUCCAUUCUGUUUUAGCCUUCUCAGGUCAUUUUAAUAUGAGAUUUCUGUGCUCAGCAAUGCUACCCUCUUGUCUCCUUUGUGUCUCUGACCAUAGGAUCAGACUAAGGCCCCUUCCUUUUUUAAUCCUAGGACUUUUCCUUGUCUUUCUUUACCCUCUAUGUUCUGUGAAACCAGUUUGUAAAUAUACAAAAGCUGUGUAUUUAUAGGACACAAUCAUAUCCUUGAUGACCUGGUUCCCUCUCUAACAUUGCUAAGAGGUGAUGUUUACUUUUUUCUUUUUUUUUUUAGUCAGGUUGUGAAAUAGCUGAAUUUGAGCUUUUGGCCUUCUUUUAGAAGAACAUCUAAGCAACCUUUUCAGGGACCUAGUUUUUAAGUCGCCUAUGAAUCAGGACAAGAUAGACAUUCAGGAAAUCUCAUGGGGGGUGGAAUGAAGAAAAAUAAGAGAGAUUCAGCAAAGAAGGGAGUAAAUAAUGAGAAAAUUCCUAUGGAAAAUAGAUGUCAUCCACAUAAGAAAUCAGAAAAAAAAAUCAGUUCUUAUCACGUAACACAUCUUUAAUUUCCAGGUGAAGAGAUCUCCUAUAAGUGUUAUGUGUAACAAACAUCUCCAUUGCAGUUCUGACUUUUUGCAGCACUGAGAAUCCACCCUGGAGAAAAGUCCUAUGAGUAAGGAUCGGGCCAAAGCUGUCGCCUUCAACCCUACUUCUGUUCAGGCACUUCUCUGCAACUGGGUCUGAAGGCAGAGCUGCAUCCAUCCAUGUUCACCAGCAGGGUAACCCCUGGGAGGACCCGCAACAGGAGAGUGGCCCUCCACGUGCAGAGAAUAUGGCAAGGCUCUUAGCUGCAGCUCCCACCGCACUGCACACCAGAGAAUCCACAAUGGGAGAAGCCCUCUGAGUGUAAAGAGUGAAGCGUUUAGCUUCAGCACCAGCAAGUCCACACCCGAGGGAAGCCCCUCAGAUGCAGGGACUGAGGCAAGACCUUCAGUCAGAAAAUCACCUCUGUUCUAGGGCCGCCUGGGUGGUUCAGUCAGUUAAGUGUCUGACUCUUGGUUUUGACUCAGGUCACGAUCUUAGGGUUCGUUAGAUUGAGCCCCACAUCGGGUUCUGUCAGCGCUGACAGUGCGGAGCCUGCUUGGGAUUUUCUCUUUCCCUCUGUCCGUCCCCUGACCCUGCGUCUCUCUCACUCUCCAAACAAACAAACAAACAAACAAACAAUAAAUAAAUAAAUAAAAAAGAAAAGAAAAGACAAUUACCUCUGUUCUACAUCUGAGACAUGCACUGGAAAAAAUGCUAUGCAUGUAAUGAUGUGGUAAGAUUUUAAUUUGAACUCAGAGCUCAUUCACCACCAAGUACUGCAUGCUGGGGAGAGAUUCUAACUUGCAAGCAUUGUGGAAAAGGCUUCACUCAGAACUCACAUCUCCUCCAGCACCAGAGAAAACUUAUCAAUGUAAGGAUUACAGCAAAGCCUUCAAGCAAAGUCAGCUCAAAUCAACAUCAGUGGAUCCACCCUUAGACAAAACCCCAUGAGUGCACCGAGUGUGGGAAGGCUUCAAUAAUAGUUCAGGAUGAAGCAGGCCCAGAGGCUCCAUGUUGGAGAAAAACACAAUGAAGACAGAGAGAGACAGAGCACAAGCAGGGAAGGGGCAGAAAGGGAGACACAGAAUUGGAAACAAGCUCCAGGCUCUGAGCUGUCAGUACAGAGCCGGAUGCAGGGCUCAAACCCACGAACCGUGAGACCACGACCUGAGCUGAAGUUGGAGGCUUAACCGACUGGACCAUCCAGGCGCUCCAGGGCAUCUUGGCUCUGGAGAAAGCUGCGUGGCAAAAGGCGGCUGGUGAUGGCAUUCUGCCUCUUGAUGACUCUGUCUGCGGUGGCUGUCACUCGCUUCCCCCCACAGCAUCCUGCUACUGGCCCAGACCCUGGUCCCAUGGAGCCCCAGGAGGUAACGGGUGCCCUUGGCCCCCACAGCCGGCAGGCUCUGAGCUCCGGCUGGAGGCAGCGGGCAAGAGACCUAGGGCUCUGGAGAGGCUGGGCCUUGCCUAGCCCCAUGUGUGCUGGGGAGCAAGGCCACAGAGGGCCAGUGGACAGAAGCAGGAAGUCCCUGGGAGGGGACAGCAGGCGUCCAGGGAGGGUCAGAAGGGACAUUACUUUGGCACCUCUAGGAGAUUUGAGACUCAGUACCCGGCGUCUUGUGCUCCUGGGGGAGGAUGAAGUUAGGAGUCCAGGAGCCAAAGACUUGGGUCCCCCCUGGCAUGAUGGUCUCAUCAGAGAGGCACAGAAUGAAACUGGCACCCUGGUUGGCCCCCUCACAGGACAUGGCAUGACGGCUUUACAGGCUUGGAAAGCUACCGCUGGACCGACCCUCCGGUCCCACCCAGCAGAAGGCAGGAAUCUUCCAGGAUUGACUGGUGGGCAACAAACAGGGCAUCCCACACCAUCUGCAGGGGCUCGUCGGUGGCCUGGCUCUGUUGGGGAGCUGCAAGGAUCUGUCUGGUGUGAGGCUGAGACCCCUGAUCUGUUGACCGGCUUGAGGACCAGUGGGCAGGCUCCCCCGUGGCUCACAGAGCAUGAUGUGCAAAUGCUCCGGCUGUUGGCUCAGGGGGAGGUGGUGGGCAAAGCCAGGGUGCCUGGCCAUGGGCAGGUGCUGCAGGUUGGCUUCUCCAAUGCGGGUGCCUCUCGGGACAUGUCUUCUGGGCUCAGCCAUCUCUGCUCCCAGGGGCUCUGCGGCCUGAUCAAGAGGCCUGGGGACCUGCUGGAGGUCCUGGCCUUCCACGUGGACCGUGUGCUGGGGCUGCACCGGAGCCUACCUGCUGUGGCCCGGAACUUCCGGAGCUCCCUGCUGCCCUACCGAUACACAGAUGGCAGCACAAGGCCCGUCAUCUGGUGGGCACCCGAUGUGCAGCACCUGGGUGACCCAGACGAUGACCAGAACUCUCUGUCCUUGGGCUGGCUCCAGUACCAGGCCUUGUUGGCACGCGGCUGCAGCUGGCCAAGCCAGGCCCCCUGCCUGGGCCUCCACCACGCCGAGUGGGCACGCCUGGCACUCUUCGACUUCCUGCUGCAGGUCCAUGACCGCCUGGACCGCUACUGCUGCGGCUUUGAGCCCGAGCCGUCAGACCCCUGCGUGGAAGAGGGGCUCCGGGAGAAAUGCCGGAACCCGGGCGAGCUGCGACUGGUCCACAUCCUGGUCCGGAGCAGUGACCCAUCCCAUCUGGUCUACAUCGAUAACGCCGGCAACCUUCAACACCCCGAGGACAAGCUGAACUUUCGGCUGCUGGAGGGCAUAGAUGGGUUUCCUGAGUCUGUCGUGAAGGUUCUUGCAUCAGGGUGUCUACAGAAUAUGCUGCUCAAGUCACUGCAGAUGGACCCAGUGUUCUGGCAAAGCCAAGGCGGGAGACUGGGACUGACGCAGGUUCUCCAGACCCUGGAGCGGCGAGGACAGAGGCCUGGACUUGAAUGCAGGAGCUCUGGGUUCAGAUCUGGCCUUGGCCACUUAAUGGUUAGGAACUGACAAGUGUUUAUUGAGCACCUGCUAGAGUAACUGGUAACGUUUACUGAGUGAUGACUACGGACCAGUCGCUGUGACAGUGGUUUAUGUGGAUCAAGGCACACCUAACCUCGCCACGACUCGACGGAUCAAGAGCCUCAGCUGGGGAGGGAGUACAUUGCCCGUGGCCAGACAGACUGAGGUGGCAGAGUCUGCCCAUGAACCUGGGGAGCGCUACCUGGCAUGAAGUGAAUACGGAUGGUGGUCUGCACUGUGCAGAGGAGCUGUACUGUGUUCCUCAUCACAAAGCCUCGAAAUAACUCCAUAAGCAGUGGAGCCGCUUUUCCCCGUGUGGCCCGGGAACCUCCCGGACCCCACUCUGCUCCUGGGGAUUCGCCCUUCCCACCAGAGCACCGCCAGGUAUGGAGCCGCGGAGUUGCAGCCUUUGCGCUCCCCUUGUUUACAGUCUUAAUAGAAUUAAACCCUCUGCUUUCUCCUUUCUCCCUUUUUAGUUUAGUCCCUGCAGCUGUUUCCAAUUUUCCACUUUCUCUCCAGCUGCUUUUGGGGAGGGGUGCUUUUUCCGUAUUCUCUCCCCCACCCCCCCGCCCCAGUCUCCGUCCUCUCUUGGCUCACAAAAGCACCUCCCUUCCUGCACCUUCUCGCUCCCCAAGUUCACUUCUCCGUGCCGCGUACCUGAAGUCUGUGGUUCAGGUUGUGCAGAUUGUUGUGUUAAUCCCCCAAUCAGUUUUCUAGGUGUGCAGGAUGGUUUAGUGUUGGUCUGGCUGUAUUUCAUGGACACGAGACACACAAAAAACUUCCACGCUGUUCCGCCAUCUUGGCUCCUCCCCAAGAAUAUGAUUUUAAAGUUUCUUGUGUGUGUCUCCCCAGCAUCAUUUUCUAGAGGAUCAUUUAUACCACAGACCCCGCGUAACACCAAGGAACAAGGGCCUCGCCUCCACAUGUCCACGUGACCGACACAGGGCGUAACCAGGGAGGCUAG